AGGGGGAUAACACUUGGAAACAGGUGCUAAUACCGCAUAACAGUUUAUGCCGCAUGGCAUAAGAGUGAAAGGCGCUUUCGGGUGUCGCUGAUGGAUGGACCCGCGGUGCAUUAGCUAGUUGGUGAGGUAACGGCUCACCAAGGCCACGAUGCAUAGCCGACCUGAGAGGAUGAUCAGCCACACUGGGACUGAGACACGGCCCAG
rnacentral:rRNA from 1 species